rnacentral:rRNA from 1 species
CUGCUGCCUUCCGUAGGAGUUUGGACCGUGUCUCAGUUCCAAUGUGGGGGACCUUCCUCUCAGAACCCCUACGCAUCGUCGGCUUGGUGGGCCGUUGCCCCACCAACCACCUAAUGCGCCGCAUGCCCAUCCGUGACCGGGGUCGCCCCCUUUGGCCGGCAGGGGAUGUCCCCUCCCGGCAUUAUGUUGUAUUAGGCGGGAUUUCUCCCGGUUAUCCAUCUGUCACGGCCAGGUUGCAUACGUGUUACUCACCCGUGCGCCGGUCGCCGGCGG